GGAGGUAGCUCAGGGAUAGAGCUUCUGCUUUGCAUGCAGAUGUUACCAGGUUCAAGCCCUGGCAACUCCA